GCCCGGCUCCUCUUUCCCACUCUUGUGCUCUCCACCUGUUUUCUGUGGUGUUGGAUCUCCUUCCCACCAGUUCUUUACCCCUACAGCUGCCUUAGUUUCGCAUCUUUCCCCCCCUGCUCGUGCCUUGCACAAACCUGCUGUAGCACUGCCUACCUUCCCUUACCGUUCUCCCUGGCCUUCCCUUUCUCAGUGUUUUAACCCCUGGGAAUGAUAUUUUGAAAGUAUAAGGUGUACCACCACUAAUAAACAAUGCUGGGAUAGUGGUGACAGCAGAUGAGGACAAGGCUGAAGUACUCAACAAUUUUUUUGCUUCAAUGGCAACCUUUCUUCCACAUGGAAUGACAGUGGAUGGACAGCAGUCUGGGGACUUGGGAAGCAAAGUGUUUUCCACUGUGUGAGCAUGACCAUCUGAGGAACCUGAAUGUACAUAAGUCUCCCAGAAUCCUGAGGGAAUUGACUGAUGUAGUUGUGAAGCUACUCUCCAUGAUAUUUGAAAAGUCAUGCCACUCAACUGAAGACCCAGGUGACUGGAAAAAGGGAAACAUUGUACUCAUCUUUGGAAAGAGUAGAAUGGGGGACCUUGGGACCUAUGGACCUGUCAGCCUCAGCUUCAUGCCUGGGAGGAUCAUGGAACAGAUCCUCCCAGAAGCUGUGCUAAGGCACAUGAAGAACAGGGACAUGAUUUGGGGCAGCCAGCACAGCUUCCCCAAGAGCAAGUCUUGCCUGACCAGCCCAGUGGCCUUCUAUGAUGGAGUGACUACAUCAGCGGACAAGGGAAAGGCUACAGAUGUCAUCUAACUGAGUGUCUGUAAAGCGUUUGACACAAUAUCCUACAACAUCCUUCUCUCUAAAUUAGAAAGAGAACAAUCCAUCCAAUAUGAUGGAUGAACUGUUAGAUGGAUAAGAAAUUGGUUGGAUGAUCAUAUUUGGAGGAUAGUGGUCAAUGGCUCAGAGCCCUGAAGGACAUCAGUGACACGUGGUGUUCCUCAGGGGCCUGUAUUGGGACUGGUGUCAUUUAAUAUCUUCAUUAACAACACAGACAGAAGGAUGGAGGGCACCUUCAGCAAGUUUGCAGAUGGCACCAAGCACCAACAGCUGUGCAGUUGACACACCUGAAGGAUGCUAUCCAGAGGCACCUGGACAAGCUCAAGAAGUAGGCCCAUGGAAACCUCAUGAGGUUUAACAAGACCAAGUGCAAGUGCUGCACCUGAGUUGGGGCAGCCCCAGACACGAGUACAGAUGGGGGAAAAAGUCACUGAGAGCAGCAGUGAUGAGAAGGACUUGGUGAUGCUGGUGGAUGAGAGGCUGGACAUGAGCAAGCAACAUGUACUUGCAGCCUGGUAAACCAGCUGUGUCCUGGGCUGCAUCAAACGCAGCAUGGUCAGAAGAUCAAGGAAGGUGAUUCAGCCCCUCUACUCCGCUAUGAUGAUUCUCUGAAUUCUGAACUGGGAGGGAACUGUCUGCAUCCUCCAGGCAUCCUCCAACCUGACCUGAACUUCUGUGCUCAGGUGAAACCCAAGUGAAAUGCUCAUUGACUAGCAACACCCAGACCAGGUGCUUCCACCUUUAUCUUUCACAGCUGUUGGGCACUUCUGCUCUGCCCAAAAGCCUGCCUUCCUCUUCAGCUUCCAUGGCUGCUCUGAUUCUCCUCCCCCUCCCUCAAACAAUUUGUUUCCCUUGGAUGACUGCCAUCACUUCUCAGCCUUCUUCAGGUUUGCUGCUUUGAUUGCCUGCCACAGGAGACGUCUCCUGCACAAUCAAGUCCUCAGCUGCCCCUUGUCUGAGCUGAGAGCUCACAAAGCUUUGUCACAAACCCAUUUUCCAGGCAGGAGUUGUGAGCACUUGGGCGUCCCUGUUGAGACAUUAAAUCAGUUUUAACAGGGUUAAAAUAGGGCUGUUACUUUCUCUCCCAUUAUCUUUGUUAAUGAGUAGGCAGUGUCAGUCAUGUGGUAUUUGUGAUCUUGAGAGCUUCCAAACCUUGAAUGUAGCUUCUUGAGAGCCUUGAGGAGAGCUGGCUGCAAAAGUCUCUGCUGCCAUUUCUGCCUUUCCAAGGUGUCAGAGAAGCAGGUUCCCUUUUUCCCAGGGAAGGACAGCUGGGGUGGAGCAUUUUUCCUUCCCUAGAUUCCUGUGUGCACCUCCUGCAGAAAGAAGGCACGCUGUCCCAGGCAGCUGCAGUGCUUUUAGGCUAUUAUGCUCUUUCAGAUGUCUCGUUCAAGUUGGGCUUUGCUGUGAUGCCAAUAAAAACUUGCUGGUGUGAGGCUUCUGCGGCAUCACGGAGAAUGCCAUAGAAGGAAGCACAACCCAGCAGCUGAAACCCUGCACUGGGGAUUUCCCUCCAUCUAUUUUUUGGUAGUUCCCUUUCCCAAUGUGCCAUCCUCUGUGGAUGUCCAUGCUUGAGGCAAUGUAGACCAAGGACAGCGCUGUAUUAUACCUUCCUAAGAUUUACCAUAACAAAGCCUUUUCCUGAAAUUAGUUGUGAAUCCUAAACCGACUGAAAGGUCACAUCUUGUAACACCUCCGAGCAUGUGGGGCCACUUUGGGGGUGGCACUUUUCAAACCCUCUCCCUCAUCCUUUUGCUUCUUGAUUCUGCUCUGUCUUCAAAUGGGCAGAGAGCUCUCAGAGAAAAUGGAAAACAGUCUCUGCUCCCAUGGGUUCAUGGUUUUGCCUUCCAUUGUGCCAGCAGCAGGCUGUCUGAGGGAAUAAAAAUGGUGCUCAGCACAGGGCUUGGAUAAUUAAUACUGUUUCUUUCAGCUACAGUAUUACUUAUGCCUCUGGUUGACUUCUGCGAUGAUAAAGAUACAGUCAUUUCUAUGACUGCACAAAAGAAAUAUAUGGGAGGGGAAAAUGGAAUUUUUGCUGGUCCAAAUUAAUAUGGGCCCAAAACUCUCACAUUAAAUCUCCCAGAACAAAACCAUCCUAUUUUCUUGACCCCAGGACAGGCCCUUAGAUGCUGUCCUAGGAGCUUAUGUGUCUCCAUGUACCCAGACCUCCCUCCCCAAAGCAGCUGUGGGGGACAGGAGCUCACCUUUCCCACAAAAACAUGUGGGGACAGAUAGGUUACAGCCACCAGAAUGGUACAGGGCUUGUCUGCCACCCCCAGCAUGGCUGCAGUGGGGGGAUAGCAUUUUCCUGCUGCCCCUUGGGGAGAAAAGCUCUUGCUUAGUAUAUCCUGCCCCAAGGCAAAGCAAAAGCCAUGAGGAGUCGCUCCAACCUGCUGUGGUUGGUUAGACUGUAAAAUUGUGGGGGAUUUUUUUUGCUGUUAUUUAGUGAGCAACUCACUGUGAAUUUAAUAUGUGAGUUUUGCUAUCAGUAACAACCCCCCUAACCCCCAAGCAGUUUAUUUCAUGUGUACAAGAGUAAAAAAAGGGAAAAGUAAGAACACCUCUGGGGAAAAUAAGGGGUUGGGAAAUGGCUGUAAGUGUAAGCACAGGAUUGCCAAACCCACACGUUCAAAAAGUAUGAAUCAGAUCUCCAGGAAUCACAAGACUGGUGGUCUGAAUUCCAAGUAUGAAAUCUGGGCAGUUCCUGAAGGGUAUUUCCCUCCAUGUUUUCAACGCUCUAGGGGAAGCUGUAUGCCCUCCCUUGGGGAGAGAGUGUUGGUGGGCUGGAGUUGAUGCUUAUACAUGCUUGUAAAUCCAUCCUCCCUUUGCUGGAGCCUGAGAUGGUUGUCAUGCCCUCCAAACCCCCAAGCCUGCCUUGUUACAGUGUUCUCCCCCACUGUGGGGCAUUGCUGCUGCUCCCUUGUAUCCCUGAUGCGCUGCCUGGAAGCACAGCCAAGCCCCAGUGCCCACCUUGCCACAGUGGAGAACGACAGCUGCUUGUACCAGGGUUAUUCUCCUCCCUGUGGAUAGGUGGUGAGGAAGAGGCGUCUUUAUUUAAUCCUCAGACUUUAAUAGGAGAGAGACGCAGCUUUGAAUAGUCCAAAGAUGUACUUAGCCAGGGCCAUAAAACCAGCUCAGCACUGCCCGAGGUAGGGAGAGCUGCCUGCAACACCUGUUCUGGAGGGACAUAAAUUGCUUUUCUGUACUAUGCAGGAGCUUGCUUUAAGACAAAGUUGAAACUUUUUUGUCUGGGGGUACAAAUUAGUACCUCCUCCCCCAAAGUUACCCAAAACCCCCAGAAACCUGACAAGAGGAGUGCUGUGGCAAACUUCCUCUGUACUAGACCAAGUGGCCCAAUUUGUUGGUGCCUGAGCCCCAGGCAGGGAGCAGCCUUCACCCACACCUCCAAAUAUGGAUGUGCUGGCAGGAGAGAGGAGCUUCCUCUGUCUCCUGCCUCACUUGAGGGCCUCUAGAUCUAUAACUGAUCUAAACGGCAGUUGCCCAACUCAGCCUUGCAGAGUCAGCUUUGCUGCAAGUCCUUUCUUGUUUCCCUCUGGAGUCCCUCAGUUACCAUCCAUGCCACAAUGUUGGUCCUUGCAGGCUCUUGGGUCAUGCUACAACUGCUCAGCUGCAGUUGUCCCCACCAAAGGAGCAGCAUGACCUCCAUGGGAGAGGACUCCCUCCCUGGGUGAUUGGCUACACAGCACCAUGAGAUGGUCCACCCUAGCCCAGCAUGGUAGUGUCGCUUCCCUGUGCUGGACCAACAUCUCUUCAGUUUCAGCAGAAACCAUUCUCAUCCUUGUGUGUUGUCUCCUUGUUCCUCUUACAUCUCAGCUCGUACCAAUCAGGACUCAUUGGUGUGAAGUGUGGGGAAAUCCCAGGCUGCAUGGCUCUUCCUGAGCUCCUGUUGCCUAGGCAAAUCACCUGUCGCAGGGAGAGGAUUCAGAAGUUAGAGGGAAUUGCAUGCAAAUAGGAAGAGCAACCAAAAAGCCCCAAUUCUCCCAGGUCUGCUGAGACUAAAGACUGCAGUUGGCAGUGCACCUGCUUUGGUGAGGGGUGGAGCUGCGGCUGUGCAAUGGGUAAACCUCACAGCCUUUCUCCUUCAAAGCCAAGCAUCAUAUUUUGCUCCAAAGCACUUGUACCACCCACCUGUGAAAGAGGAGUACCAGUGACUUCCAACUGGAUGGACAACAACCAGUAGGCAGCAAAACCACUCACAUCUAACAGAAGCUGCAGCUCUUGUAAUGGUAGCUGAUGAGCAGAAGCUGGUUGGUUUCCAGGGCAGGAAUGACUCACAGCCCAUCUACGAUUACCUGUGAGUCCUCAUGCCCAGCUCCCAGCUCCCCAGGGCCUGGUGCAGCAAUAUCUGCUUCCUGAGUUCAAUGAAAGCAAAAAGGUGCCUUGCUCCCUGUGGAUGAGUGUGGAUUAAUCCAUGCUUGCCCUAGGUUGGAGGUAAUACCAAUAGCACCCAGCACACCCUCCUGCUGCAUAUCAAGUUUGGGAGUAUCCUGGCCUGAAAGACCAGACAUAUUAGCCAGGCCCAUAAGUGAAGCAUCAAAGAGAACGCAAGAUUAACAUGUGCAUGGACAGCUCGUGGCAGCGACCUUUUGUAACUAUGCCUGCUUGCCUCACAUUACAGGCCCUUUACCUGGUAGAUGGUCUCAUUUGCCAAUAUAAAUACACCCUUGCCAGGGUCGAACACAGUGCAUAAAGUGCUGGAGAAACUGGAAGAGCAAAAUGUGUCCAGCAUACACGGCAAUGCCAGGAGAAGAGCACCGUUGGAGCCCAGGAGAACAGAUCCAGCUAUAUCACAGCAUAGUUCUUGCUUUGACUCCUCUUCCCCCAGUCUCUAUAGCCACGGCUGCUUGAAGGGGAGAGAAAAAGAACAGAAGUCCCUUUCAAUGCUCACUGUAAUCACAUAGAGUACAUCAGCCCACGCUGUUGGCUGGAGCAAGUUGGUGGGACCUUUGUCUGCUCCCUGACCAGCUCUCUGCAUUGUGGUAUCUCCAGAGCAGGAAAGUUUGCUCUCUCUUUCACUCUCAAUAUACAGCUGGCCCUCACAACCCUCUCUUGUUUGCAACAACAGAGCAACCUGUGUGAGCCAUGCUUCCUAGGGCAUCUGCCACCACAAGACUUCAGCCUCCUGCUCUUCCAUAGCGCUGGCUCCAGGGAUAAAGCAUGUGGAUAUGACAAAGAUGUCUCUGCCUGUUCCUUCCCAGCAGGAGCUCUGCUGCAGUUGGUUCUUCAUCUGAAUUCUGCUCUAGGUCUGUACAGUGAACACCCUCCAGAUCUCUGUGGAGUUCCCACUCUUCCUCAGGACCAGGAGUGCAUAGUGCAGGGUGCUAGGCUUAGCAUACCAAGAUUUUAUCCACAUUGCAAGCCUGGUGAGUGAUCCCUACUUUCUAGAUUUCCUGAUAUGUUUUUGCAUGUCCAGAUGCUGCCCACAACCCAUCUGGAGAGCCAUCCCCCACAACUGCCUUGUACACUUCUCCCAGUUGUCUCUGUCUUGGGAGUCGCAUGCAGAGUGGAUAUUUUGAGAUUUGGAAUAUCAGUCCACAAGCAGCAAGUGAGCACUUUUACCUGUUCCAAGCUGCCCAUUAGGUUCUUCAGUAUAUGCAGAGUCUAAAGAGCUAUCAGGUUGUUUCUAUGACAAAGUACCUGUCUGGCUAUAGUUAUGUGUGCCAUCACUCUGCUGAAUUCUCCUGUCCUUUGAACGGGGAGGGAUUCCCAUCCUUGCUGUGAACUUUCACUCAUGAAAGAGCAUUUCAGUGUGGACAAGAUGGCCUCUCAAGUGAUGGCUCCAUUCUAGAGUUCUGAAUACUGCUGACUCUUCAAAAGACUGGAUUUGCUGCUCAGCCUUUCCCUCAGAGUAGCAGCCCUUAUCCAGCUAAAUUCAGCUGGGGGAAUUCCACCUGUAAGAUGUGCAAGUAAGGGCAAAGACAUCCUUUGCCUUGUCCCUGUCAAGUUUCUGCUCCCCAAGGCCUUGCUUUCUCUGUUGGUAGUUCCUGCAUGCAGCAGCAAGUCUGCUCCCCGCGUGUUUCGCUAAAGCCAAGAUGCCCACACAUUUUUUCCAUUGUGAACCUGGCUUCAUCCCUGCCAGCUCAUGCAAGAAGCUAUUGUUAAGUAAUUGUUUGAGUCAUCCACUAAGCCCACACCCAAGCAAGCUUUUCAGAUUUAGAACAUGGGAGAUUCAGUGCUGUUGGCGUGGCUUUGGGGUACCCUACCUCCUGCCUCUGCCCAGGAGGAUGGCAGCAAUGAACACAUUCCAGAUGGGCCAUUUCAUGCCCAUCCUUGCUUUCCCAGCCUCCAGCCACCAGUAACAGAAACUUAAUGCAAUACAGAAGAGCCACCAUCUUGCACCCAGGCUGGAGCAAGGGUUUUUUCUCCUGGUGCUGCUGGAUUUCAGAGGUAUCCUUCUCUUCCCCUUUUCUCCCUAUCUCCACUGUCAUUACCAGAGCAAAUGUCAGGGCUGCUUCCCUUACCAGUGAUGAUGCUUCCCCCUCAACUCUACUUGAUGAGUGGGGUUUAUACUUGAAUUUUAGUUUGGCACAGUUGCUAUUCCCCAACCCUGGCAAUUAGAGGAUUUGAGAAGUUCAUUACGGAGCCCUAAGUUUUCAUAUGGUCAUUCUGGCUGACACCAUAUUUUUUACCACCUUUUUACAUACACAGCCAAAAUACUUGGCACACUUUCAGAAAAGGGAAGAUUAAAAAUCCAACCAAAAAAAACCCCAAAAAAACAACCAAAAACCCAACCAAAAAAACCCCAGGAAAAAACCCAAAGUGAAUUACUAAAGUUUAUAAGGCUAAUACUUUAUAGGGCUAGUAUGCACAGGCCUGGGGCCUUCAAGAUAAUAUAAUCUAAUACUUGGAGAUCCCCUGAUGAAAGGCACUAUAUAUGCAAAGUGCUUUAUAAACAUUAAUUAGUUAAUGUUGAAAAUUUUGCCCAGGGCAAAAAAAAAAAUCCUACCAAAAAUCCCCCUUCCCUCCCUCUCUCUAGUCCCUAACUAUACAAAGUUAAUGAUUCUGUGUGUGCAAACUUAGAGUACAUUUUAAUUUCUGUUUACUUCUGGGGAGGUGGAAGCACUGGAAGUACUUUCAUAUACAUUAUGCUUCUGCAAGCAUUAGUAACAUGGUGGCUUCUCCUAUCAAGUGCUUUAAUCUCCAUGAAUGAGGACACCCCAACAUCUGCAGCAUAACUUUGGACCACAGUGUUUGCAGCAAAACUGCCCAGGCUCUGCUCACUCAUCCCUUCAGUCUGUAAUCACCAGCCAAGCAAGCAACCAACCAACACGUGUAAAGGUCUUUGUGACAAUAGUUUCCAUUCCAGGCCACCUUUUCAAACCUUGGGCAACCAACAGGUGGUUUCAGUGUCAUCACCACAUCACAUGUCACCACAUAAUGUAUGCACAGGGAGCAAUGGACAGAGUAAUACACGCGUUGCUUAUCACAAAAGGAGGGAGUCUGAAGGACAGAGCAGACCUUGCAGGAUGAGGAUGUGGUUCAAAGUAGGGCAACAAGUUCUACAUUCAGUGAUAUUUCCAGCAAUGAUAUUCCAGGUAUAUUUCAUCUCUCCUUCAUGAUCUUUCCCAGGGAAGCAUUCAGCUUUUAGAUAACACUUGGGGUUGUUUUCCCUGGAAGCCCACAUCUGCUCUGGCAUAGUAGUCCACCACAGUCCAUCCCACUCCUUUUAGAGCACUGUGCUCACUUCCAGGCUUUGCAAAGCUUAGGGACCCUCAUAGGCAACACUUUUCUCCUGAAAAAACCCUUUGCAUCCCUGACAAGGCCUUUACAGAGUCCGCUCAGUUCAAGCAAGUCUGCACCAUGCAUGCUCAUCGUAUGCCACAAACUGCCAAAUCAGCUGCCUGACUCGGAUUUCUCUUUACCACAUCCACCAGCAAAGGACCAGCAGGCCCCAUGCCCUGUGGCCAGGGUGGGUGACUGCUUCCCACCACUCUUCUCCCAGGUGCAAGGGCAACAAAGACCCCAAGAGAAGAAGAUGUGCAAGCAAACCCCUUUCCCUGAAAAGCUGGUGGUAUCUUCUGGAGUCCUUUUUCCUCAUCUGUCAUGUUGGAACCCCAAACUCAUUUUUUUGCAGGCAUCUGAUCUUUUCCCAGCACCCAAAGCAGCUAGUGCUGCCUCCCUGACAAUGGAUCUUUGGUGGGGGAUGCUUUUCCCUUCCCUCUCCUGAGUCCUGGGGGUCUCAAGGGCUGCUCUGAGGAUUUUGGCUCCUCAUAGUUCCACCCUGUGAGAUCUUGCUGUGCACUAGCAGCAGGACACUGAGCCAGACAUUUUCUGUCUGCCUGGAGUGUCUCUGGAAGAGGCAGCAUCAAGGGAUGAGACCAUGGCAAGGUACCACCAGUUCCCUUAGCCCCAGACUUGGUAACUGGUAUGAGCAAAGUCUUAAAGUGAAGUGGAGUCAGCCCAAGUGACCACAGGCCAUGCUGACAGUGGCUGUCUUGUGCCUCCAGUGCUUAGCAGCCAGGCAGCUGCAUGGCUUGGGAAUGCAACUACUCUCCAGCAGCUUGUGAAGAGGUAACUUAUUGAGCUUCGCUGCAUGUGGGUGCAGCACUGUGCUUGGCAGGUGAAAUGAUGGGGCCAAGGAAUCCCUGCAUUCCCAAGGAUCUCAGCUCUCAUGACAGCCCCCCUUAGUAUCAAUGGCAACUAUUUAUAGAGUCUUUGGAGAAUCAAAGGCUGUAAAGGUUUGGUCUGGCCUGUUCCAAUCACUGCCACCUCUGGGCUCAGCCAGGGUUCAGCUGAACAUUCGACUCAGACGAGUCAUCUUGGGGGAGUUUUGCCUGUACACAAAAGCAAGAUCAAGCUAGUGGAGAGCAAUCACUUACACAGGUGUCUAAUGUGGACGUACCUGAAUGAGCUAAGCUAUACUUUCAUCUUGUGAAAUGUUUAAUUUUAAUCCUCUGUCAAUGGGGGAAAAAAAUUGUAUGAAGUCCUAAUAAAUAAAUUAUGCUGCCGAGUGCUCAGAUCAGCACAUCCUAGCUAGAAGCAGUACAGAAAAAGCCUCCUUCCAGCACUGCAGACUGCUUUAAAAUAUCCCUUCAAAUAGAGGUUGUUGCAAGCCAGUGAUACCAGUGCUGUUGUGUUGGCUUCAGAUCAUGAAGCACUUGCCAUUCUGAGAGUGUGCAACUCUGAGGAAGAAGAAAAAUGAGAAAUAUUUAGUAGUAUUUGAUGACCAACUUGAGAACUCUUGAAGAACCCUGAUUUUUCAAAAUCAUUGCGCAUUUGCUCUCAGACAGCCUGGCUGCUUUCAGGCAUAUCAUGCUGGGCACAUGCCAAGGCAACCACUGAAAUUGCAAGUCUGCUUGGAAAAUCUAGAUGGGAGAUUGUGAUGGAGGAAACUGUCUGUGCUGCUAUUGCUGAAGUUACUGAUUUUUACCUUCUCUGUUUUUAAAUUACUUUGCGGCAUUAUUUGCUCUCAAGGAGACAGCUAGGAAUGCAAGGAGAAACUGGGAACUGGAAGCAUGUUUUAUAUUGCUACAGGCAAAAGACUUGAUUUUCCUGGGAUUUCUUGGAUGCUCAGACCCUGGUUAAGUUCCAGGGACAACAACUAGCACAGGGAACUGUUGUGUGUAGGUCAGACACCACCAGUUUCACCAAAGGUGUUGGCCUGUGCUGCAGCAGAAUAUUUGCAAUUGCAUUAGGACAGAAGCUGUUUACCAUCCACUGAUGAACUUUUAUGUGUAAAACGUCCCUUUCAAUUUGGGCUGAAGUAGACACUUGCCUUGAUAGUUAUAUAAAAAAUCCUUAACUUUGCUUUGGGAUAUUUAUAACCAAAACACGCAGAAUUAUUGCAGCAUAAAAUCUGCUUCACUGCAUCUUGGUGAUAUAAAAAAGGAAAGAAAAAAAAUAGGAAGAAAAAGAAAGUUAAUAUAAUAAAGAAAAAAAAGACAGAUGAGUACACAGAACACACUUCAGAUCUACAGCACUAUAUUGUCCCAGCAAUGCCACCAAUUCAAUUUAAAUCCUAAGGAAAAAGCUAAUGCUAUUGAAGCACUGCAAAUUAACAGCAGCCCUGGCCUUGUACAUCACCCCUUCACAACAACCAGCCCAUCAAACACCUUUGCAGCUCCACACAAAGACAGAGUGGAGAAAAAGUGAAAUGGUGUCUCAUCCUCUGCCUGCCAGAGGCAAGUGCCAGCUCUCACUGUUGUAAACUGUAAGGCAAGACAAUCUGCAGUGCUAUGGAAAGAAAACAAAUACCACAGUAGCAGGCAGGCAGGCAGGCAGAAUGAGACAGAGAUAUUUUUAAUUGAUGCUAGAGGAACAUAAAUAGAUGAAGCUGGCAUUAAGCAGCACAGCCCUUUUUCUCUCUCUGCCAGGUACCCAUUUACCCGGGCUCAUAACCAAAGGCCAACAUGACAUCAGAAGCCCUGUGGUGUUUUGCCUUUGGGCAACAGCCGGUAAAACUGGUUUCAUCUGGCAGAUGAGCAUGUGAGCUGAGGUAAUUGGUGUGUUCUUUUCUGCCUCAGAUUCCUUAUCUCAUCCUGAAUAUUCCCAUAACCUCCCUUUUUUCCAGCCCCUUUUGUUUCUCAACAAAAAAAAUAUUUACAUUGAAAUAAACAGUGGGAGCCUCUAGAUCACAUCGGAAGACAUGGGUGCCAGUAACUUCACAAACAAAGAGCAGUGCAGUGAGAGCUGCAGAAAGGAUAAGCUGGAAAGGGGGACUUUUGCUACUGGGGCUGUUCCUGAACAGAAGGGGUUGGAACAGACACCAUUUGAUAAAGGAGCCUCACUCAAAACCAGCUGCCCUUCCAUUUUUCUUUCACUUCUGAGGACAGUUUGGAUUCUUUUUCUGAGGUGUUUUGUAACUGCAGAAUAAAACCCACCUGAAUGUGAUCAGAGCACAAUGUGGGAAUCUUUCUACAUGCCAAGGCUGAAAACAAGCAGGCCUGCCCAUUCCUAGGGCUGUAUUAGGAGUGCUUUGGCAGCACAGACAUCCCAGGCUGUGCAUAGACAUCCCAGGUUGGGCAGGCUUCCUGCGGGCAUCCCUCACAUCUCUGACUGCUUUGCUCACUUGAAGAGAGCAGGGUCACAGAAUAAAUCCUGCCAGCAAAACUGAAUUUUCUAGCAUAUCACUGAAUGUACAUUACUGGUGGUUUUGUUAGAUUAUGUAUGUGGAUGAGUGACUUCAGCCAUCACAGCUGUCAUUUAGGGAUGUCUGCAGCAUGCGUGUGCUCAGAACACUAUUGUGGGGCAGCACCACAGCCAGGGAAUGAGUGACUAGGUAAUCUGGAGGACUGGACAGAGAUUUCUGGCUUGUUUGGAACAUAUGAACCUCUACAAGCUUCCCCUGGAAAGAAGUUGGAAGGCAAAAAAAGGUUUUGUCCUUCCUUCCUUUCAAAUAUAUUACUGAUAUGUAUAAAUGUUGCUGAAGGACUGCCCACCAUGCCUAGCAAGGACAUGCUGGAGAUAAGGUUCCUGCUGUGGCACAUUGGCUCAAACCAGAUAGGAUGCUGCCUCCAUUUCUCAUUUAAGGAAAUGUGGCCUGCUUUUCAGAAGCGUUGUUCUUUCUACUUAUAGGUCCCUCUGGAGCUAGGAGAUGCUGCAAGCAUGGAGAAGCUUGGGAAAUCUAGCAAAAGACAAACCCAGACACUUGGGUUUAGCCUCUCACAUUUUGAAUGCUCUCCCUCUUCUCCUAUGGAAAUCACUGUGAAACUUCCCACUGAGGUAAAGCUGGAUCCAGUCUGUUAAUGCUGACAUAUUAAGAGGGAGAAGAAAAUGCAGAACAUAAGAUAGAAAAAAGAGCCUCCAACCUGCUAAACAAGGCUAAAACACAAAUCCAGUGGUUAUGUUAAACAGUCCAAAUGAAAAUUAUCCAAAUGUACAGGAUUAUAGGAGAAGAAAGAAAACAGACAACUGGAAAGAGAUGAUGAAAAAUGGGCUAAGGGAGGAGGAAGAUAUAAAAGGUGGGAAAUUAAUUGGAAAAUCCACCUGGGGAUGAGAGAGAGGCUGAAGAACAUGUAGAAGGAGGACACAAGUGUAGGAAGGUUGGUGUGAAACACAGUUGGUUCUGGGUGCAGGCACCGGUAAGGGGGCUUUGACAUCUGGGUCUGAGCCUCACAGAUGACAGGAAGAAACACCUGGAGGAGUGUGGACACCUUCAGAGAGGCUGGAAAAUGUCGGAGCUCUUUGUGGUCUCUAUGGAAAAAGACAUAGGGGAAAAUGUAGCAGGAAAGGAAUGGAGGGGGGGUCCCUUGUCUAGCCCACCUUACUGGACAUGCCCCAGAGAUCAAGCCUGGACAGGUGCUGCAGGAGUUCCUGCUUUUUCCUGGGGGGCUUCAGGGUUUUUGGCAGGACUGAGAAACCCAGGUCAGGGGUGUGGUCCAAGCAGUGAGCAAGGCAAACCCACGUGGCUCCUAAAGAACAUCCCCCUUCCCAGACACACACCCCUCCCACGUCCCUCUUUGCACCACCCUGCUGCUCCAAGCCCAUGGUCCAGCACUGGGGACUACCCAAGAUCUGAGCAGGAAACCAAAGGGCUGCAGCCUGUGCUGCUGUACACCCCUACAUGGCAUGUAGAUAUUUGGGAGCUAGAGGACUGAGGAGAUUUCUGAGCUCGUCCCUCAGAUCCAGCCCCACAGUGACAGCACAUGAUGCUCCCUGUCUACCAGGCUUUAACCAGCUCCACACAGACAAAGCUGGGAGUGCUGAUUUGACCUCUUCCUAUCCCCGUCCUCUCACCAGCACUAAGAAUGUUUUGGCCAGGGUCUUAGCAGCAGAAGGACAUGUCUCCCGCUGCUUCUGCCUUUGGUGAAAUAAUAACCAGCACACCACUUCAGCAAGGAGACAAAUGCCUUAGGUUCAGAAAACACAUUUUGGACUUUUUAGAAGAGUGAGAUGAGGCAGCUGCCCAUUGUGGGCAAUUUAGCUUAAUGUGAUAUUGAAUUCAGCUGUUUAAUACACCCAGAUGCUCCAGCAGUGAGUGUAUAAAAAAACCCCCAACUUCAAUAAAUAAUGAAGAUGUGAAGAAUUUUUUUUCUGUUUGUUUCCUUUUUUAAUGAAAAUGGUAAACUAUUUGCUACUGUACAUCUGCAUCAGUUAUUUAACAUGACAUCUUGCUGUAGUAAUAAUCCAUCAACAUCCAGUAUUACAUAUGGAUUCAUAAAAAGGUUUAUGCUUGUGUUGGUGCUUUUGCUGUCUGCCAAACUAAUUAUAUACAUUUUACAAUAAAUUAUACAUAUUGAGCCGAGAACCUGCUGUGCUAAUUGCUCACAUUUUUGCAGGGGAAAAAUGUGGUCAUGGAGUGCUUUUUUCAUUUUAAGCAUAUUGAGAAUAUGGCAGAAGAAGAUGCUAUGUCUUCAGUUUUUCACAGCUGAAAAGUCAAUAUUUAGCCCUACAAUAAGUAAAACAAACAAAAAAAAUCAGGAAGAGAGAACUUGGGGGAAGCUUUCUCUGGUGUGUUCUUGUCUCUUUGUGUCUUCACUUGGUGAGGUAUGGAAAUACAAACACAAUUUCAGUACUGUGGGUGCCCCAUGAAAUGAAGACCGAACUUCUACUGUACCAAAAGCUAAGGGCUCCCUGAAAUGCCUCCACAAAUCAGGACCCCGCAAAGAAAAUGUGAAGGAGCUCUGCAUCUGCCUUUCUUGAAGUUCUUUGUUUGCUCUUCAGCAACAGUGACAUGCAAUUAUGAGAUACAGCUUCACCGUCCACAGAAUUUCUGUGAGUAAUACUUUAAAUGCAGUUUAUUACAUUAAGCCCAGCACUUGCACUCAGUGGCUUUCAAGUCCCGUUAGGACAGAAUCCCCAUUCUGCUCCCUACUGAAAAAAAAUGUAAAAGAGUUCUCUUGAUUGAAAAGAAAGAGAGGACAGAAUUAAAACUCCAGAUAAUAUGACAGUGGCAUCAAGUAAAGAGGGUAUAUUUCACACUUCUUGAAGAACCUUUCACAUCACAGUCAGUUCAGUCAUCUUAGAAAUGACAGAAAACAUACAAUGGUUGAGGUUGGAAGGGUCCUCUAGAGAUCAUCUUGUUCACAAGCAGGGCCACCUUGGCUCCAUUGCCCAGGUCUGUGUCCAGAUGCCUUUUGAUCUCCAGGGGACCCAGAGGAUUUACCUGAUGGUGGCACAAGGAGCUGGGCACCCAGAACCCCUCACUGGCAGCAGCACCUCUCCCACCCCAGCAGUGAGUACAGGCACUGCCCUGGGCUGCACCCCCUCUUGCUGCUGCACAGUUACACCUGUAACACUUUUUGGGUGGUUACUCAUCCCUGGUGCUGCUCUUGCACCUCUCACUCACGCAGCAAGGCCCCAGGAGCUGGGGAGGACACCAUCACAAAGGCUCCGUGGUCACCAGGGCCAAGCAGUCUCCACAUCUGCUGUGUGGAGCACCAGCUGAGGCUGGACCAGAGCAGGCUGCUGAGACAAAAAUAAAGCAAAUCCAAACACUGAGGACAAGUAAAUGCCUUAAUUUUUUAAGACAUGCAUUGAAAGGGGUGGUUCAUCUUGUAUUGCAGUUAUCAGGCCAAUAAGAAAAGCAAGGAAUAAAAGUAAAAACAGAAGAAACAGCUAAAUCUCUCAAGUUGAAAAAAAAAGUACUUUUUAAAUGAAGGCAUAUCACCUAAAAAACCCCAAAGAUUAAGAGUAACAUUUACUACAAAAGUGUAGGAACAUCCUGGUCCUCAUCACACCACAGGCCUAUAUCAUAUCUUUGAUGGAAGAGAUUAGAAAAAGACCCAUAGCAUAUACAACAGGGAACAGGAAAGCAGCAUUUCCUAAACACUUUAAAAAUGUGCACUUUUUUACCCUAGCAAAACAAACUAUAUGCUGUUCUGAUUGAUUUAUUAUCUCAACAUUUCCCUUCAGGCUCAGUGGAUAUAUUAACAUUAAGCAGGUAAGGACUUAGGAAUAAUUCAAAAUAGAGUUUACAGCAGCUGCAGAUCUGACUGAAUUCUGCUGUGAGAUGGUGAAAAGGACAGAAAUGGUCUAUUCAAUUUAGAGAAAAAGACAGUUGUGUUUAAGUGUGUUAGUGAGAAAAGGCUGAGAUUCACUGUGGCCAUGAAUUCUCUGCCAAGCUGGCGCAUGAACAUCAUGGUGCAAUUGGUUUGGUCUCACAGAGGUCUUUCCUCAGAGCCUGACAUUCCUUCCCUCUCCAAAGAGCAAUGGAGGAUUUAUCCCUUUCACCAAGGAGCACAUCAGUCAGGAAUGAAUUUAAAUGCGUGAAACAUGUUAAACUCACCAAGUUACAUGCACUGUAUUUGGUUUUCCUUAAACAUUGUUUCUUUGUACUUCCUUGCUAGCCUUCAAAGUAUGCCAAGUACUCUGCUCAUGCAAUAUCUGGUUUCAGGCAAACCAGCAUGGCAGUGUGCCUGAGCUGAGAAAAUAUGCUUGAAGUCGGCAUUCACAGGCGGCCUCAACAUCCUAAGGAAAAUGCUUUGUUUUUGUAGCCUGAAAGUAUGUCACAAACACGAAUAGAAUUAUACACUCGCUCUCCCUCACCCUCAAUCCUCUUUACCUGAGGAAAAAAUUAUACACUUCCAAUUACAGGGCCAGUUAAAAUCAAUACAAAGGUGGGAGAAAACAGAUCAUUUUUCUUAUGGAAGUAACUGUUUUCAUUAAUUUUUCAUUAGUCCUGCUUUUGUUGUGCUAUCCAUCACUGAAGAAGCUGGUAUGCAGUAGAUUACAUUUAGGUUAUCUUACAUGCUUCCAGGAUUUAGUAGAUAUUGCCCGAUAAAGCUGCGAGCUUUAUGGCUUUAACUUGCAUCUAUCAAUAAUGCAUCAGAAGAGAAUUUUUCUGCAGAACAGCUGUCCCUGAUCCAAGCAGCUUUCUUCUGGAAUAGCUGCACUGGUUACAGCGGAGAUGGUAGCACAGCUUUUACUCAUCUAAAGGCUGCAACUGUGAGAAAGUUGAGCAGAUGCUUAAGGAGGGAGAUAAUCCAUGAGGGUUUGAGCCCUAGUUUCCCACUGCUGUAAUUUUUAUUGUGGAGCAUUUGAAGCUGGGAGCUGGCCGUACCUUGCCCCAUCUCAACAACCACACCUGAAAAACAUUCCUGCCAUCCUGGCAUGCAGCACAAUUUUGUUGUGAUCACUGUAUGAAGAAACAAAGCUCUUUCACAAACUGCACUGGUUCCUUCUCCCAUUUUAGUGCCUGAGUUCUGUGUUAAGGAACAUAAACAUAAACAGAAAAUGCUAGUGUCUAUUGAAGAGCUGAGGCAGAGAAAGGAAAUUAAGUAGACCAUCAAUUGACUUCACUUAAAACAUGUAAGGUAAAGGACAUUUUAUUCCAUUUAAUUUAUUUUUCUCUCACUUUGGAAGGAAAUAGAAAAAGAAAUCAGAAGGUGCAUCAAGCCUAACAUGAUUGUAAUGCUAACACUUUAAGCUCAUUCAGACCUCCCAGCAAUGCCUUCUAUGUGCUUGAAUAGCUUCAAACUCUCAGCUUAAAAAAACGUGUCACAGUUCCUCCUUGAUUUCCAACUCUUUCUGUACUGCAGGAGGCUUGUGGAAAAGGACAGCUAAGUGGGACUCCAGAUAUGCAGUUUGAGACCCAAGUGAGUGACAGUCCAGCUUCUUCAGCCUCCCCAGCUGCAAGACCAGCAAGCCAGAGCUGUGCUCUGAGGACCACAGGAUGGGGAUCAGUGGGGUGGGCCAUGGCACCAGCACUCCGUGCUCCCCAAGAAGCACAAACCCAGCCUGCUCAUACUACAACAGCCUCUCCAGAGAGAACUCAUGUAUGUGGGGCUUUAAUGAGGCUGAGAGAGAAGAGUCUAAUCAACCCAUACUUCCUCUGACCUGCAGUGGAAAAUAUUGUAUUUUUAGAAGCAACAGAGAUGAUAUAUUAUUGCUGUGGAUGCAAUGACACUGACAGCCCAUGACCACACUGCACCCCUUCGGCUUCUGACUGGGGUGUGAGGCAAGUGCAUCAUGAAUAUGGAGAGCAGAAGAUGAGAUCUGGUCCAUAAUCUCCAACAUCACCUGAAAAGUAUUGCACCCCUAUUAUUUUAGGGGCACAGGACUCCUAUUAGGUCCCUAGUAAAAAAAUGUGAAAAAACCCCAAACAAGCAAAAAACCAAAACAAAACCCCCCAAAAUAAAACAAACAAUCCCAAAAACAACAACAAUCAAACAAACAAAAACAAACAAAACCCCUCCCAAAACAGAUUCAAGGAGAAGUGGGCUUUUCUCCAUUUGUCGGACGACAUUUCCAUUUAUGGAACCCUUACUUGUGCAAAUAGAAGGUGCUUCAGUAGGCUAGCACUAGAAUUUCCCCACAGCAUAAAUAUUAACAUCCUCGUUACCAGCUAGCAGAGCUAGCUCAGCUUACAAGAGGAUGAACUUGUGUACUAUGUGCCUGCAUUUUUUCUUUUUAAGAGGAGUUAGGGCUAUGAUUUUAGCAGUUUCAGCCUCAAAUAGAGGAUCCCACAUGCUAAGUCAGUUUUAGGGUGCUCAAAAAAAGCAGAUCAAUGAGGCAGCAGCCAAAGCAAACACUGGGACUGGGUGCAACAUAUUGAUUUUUGGUGGUGGCGAUCCCUCCAGACCCUCAAGAAAUAAUAAACCAUUCAAACUGAAAUCUGAGAAAAAGAACUGGUCUACAGGCCCUAAGGAUAUCUUGGUUUCACUUCCACUGUAAAUAAACCUCAGGCAGCUUGAAUGCCAACAUACAAAUACCAGUUGUCCAUAGAAAUAAUUCAUAAUAUAGAAUUCUGCAGUGAAGAAAUGACAGAUGGAAAGAAAUGUUUUUAUUUCUCUGAAAAACUGACCAUCGGUCAAUAAAAAUGCUUUUCUCACCCCCCAGAAUCCAACCCUUCCCCCCCUCCCCCCCAACUCAUGCAAUGGAAACAUUAAAGAAAAAUUCACUUGACAAGUCAUUUGGAUGGCAGUAAAACCCCUGUAAUUAGUAUAGAAAUCAAUUUUUAAAGCUUGCUGCAAAAAAUUAUGCUUAUGAACAAAAUGUUUGACUUCAAAUUGAAUUCAGUGCCUGUUCAGCAUAAAGGAAAAUAAUUGAAUGGGUGGCUCAACUUUCAUGUUUUCGGAGUUUACUAAGUUUUCCCCAUUGGUUUUCGUCAUGCAUUUUAGUGGGCAUCAUGAAACAAUGCCUCAACUCAACUUGCUUGUGCCAGUCAAGCAGAGAGAUGAUCAGCUUCCUUCUAUAGACGUGUGGCAACAGAGAGGAAAAUCAUUCAUUGGGUCAGACUGCCUGGCUAGUACCUACCUGAAGACAGAAUAAAUUAGCAGCACCUAUUUACCUGUAUGGCUUCUGGAAAAGGAGGGACAAAGCAGGACUUCACUUUCUCCACCACAGAGGUAAUUAGCUCAGUCUCCAAUGGGACACUCAGUUUUAAAGCUCACCCAAGCAUGCCAGGAUCCGUACUUACAUUACGCAGCUGUUUGGUGCAUUCGGUGGAAGUACUAAACCCUGGGUCGAUGGUUGUUGCAGAAAUCCAACAUUCACAUUACCCAAAGAAAAGGUGAGGACCAAAUUCCUCUGCCUGCGUCUCACUGUGGGAAGGGGAGUUGGUGCCAUCUGCAAUCUCUGAACAUCUGCAGGAGUUCUCCUGGCAGCUGCUUAACCAACUUGCUGAAGUACAAGGCUGGCAGCUACUGCUCACUGCAGUUCUGCCUCUUGUUAUUAAAUACACUGAUGGCAUAAAAUGGAGUCACCACUUUCCAAUAAAAAAUUAGAUAAAUUUAGAUGUCAAAAUUACUAACCUCCAGAGACAAAAUGACAGUAGGUCCUUCUUGGUUCCCCCCACUCCCCCCACAUUCCUGGAGAAAUUGCUCAUUUGUUUGUUGAUCAGUUUUUCCAAAGAACAUUUUAAAAACACAUGGUUAUAAACCUCAACUGCAAACAGAAUUAAUUUCAUUUGCUCUCUAAAAAUCUACAGCCAGUUUAUUCCUGCACACAUUUUUCAUCAGCCAUUCUUUGAAUAUUCAUGACUUGUUACUCCAUGACCACAUUGUAACUGCAGAGACAUUUACAUUCAGGGUCUCAGAGUGAUUUUUGACUCCAUCAACAACAAAAGCAGGCUUGGUGAGAGGUGCUCAGCCAGCUGAGGAUUUGGAAGGAGCACAGUGGUAUCUUAAAGGUCAUUGACUUGGACAGGUACACACUGAGCAAGCAAAACCACCAGCAGAGCACAACCUGCUGGCUUUGGGAGCCACAUGUUGGAGAGCAUCAGAGGCAAAGCUCCUCGCCUUCCAGUCCCUGCGUGUGCAGAGGCUGCAGGCAGUGUGGGCCCUGCCAGCACUGGGGGGACACUUUUGGGGCUGCUGAUGCAGCAGGCUUGCAGUGCCUGUUUGCCAAGGCGCAGGGAAAGGAGCUGUGCUCCCCCCCGCUCCAGCUUGCACAGCAGCCUCUGAGGAAUCACAUCACCUUGCACUGGCACCCAUGGGAGUCUCAAACCCAUGGGGACUGGCAUCUUUUUGGACAUCACAAGUUUCAUCACUCCCAACAGUUUGAAGAUCUGUUUAAAGUAUUUAUUUCCCUGGGUUUUAGCUUUCCAACUUCUAUGCAGGCUAACAACCAAAUUGUGGGCAGUAAGAGCAAGCAUUUGUUUAUUUUGUAAGAGGACUUCUUGCUGCUAAUUGAAAACAAGCAUUUUCAAUGAGGCAGCUGUUUCAGUACUGUGAAUACACAGAUCAGCAUCACACUGAAGAUCUAAUAACCCACUAAUGAACCUUAAUUUUUAGAGCCCCCUCCCUCACCCAUUUUCACACUUCAGUAAUUCCAAACCAUUGAUAUGUGCUGCCAGUUAUUUAAACAUGUCUUCAGAUAUAUUUUAAUAAAAACCAGAAAAAAUGUAACUUUUUUUUUUAGUUAAGACUAUAUUGGAAACCUUUUUACAUGUAUCUAAGAGUUUCUUUUUUUCUUUUCUUAAAUAAAUAGCAAAGUGUCACUAAAAUGAAUGGAAUGCUAGCACCAUUGUGUUGAUAGAAAUUUCCAUACUAGGAUGAACACACAGUCAUCUUCUGUAACAGUGCAUAAAAAGAGACUUUGGAGGAAAGGUGGUGGUUGCUGGUGCAUCAAUCCGUGAGUGGCCCAUGCAGUGGCAUCAGGAUGUGGUGCCUCUGCAAAAUCUCACAGGCCUGGAGCCCGUGCCUGCAGAGGUGGCCUCAGUGAGACUCUGGAAGAGAGCAGCUGGCAGGACUUCUAAUGCAGAAUGUGGAAUUACUGCCUGCUGCCAAGGGACACGCAGCCAGCCGAUGGUAACACAAGGGGCUGGCCAUGUCACUCUCUAGACAGAAGAACAAUGGCUUGAAACAAGGGAAAUGAGCAACCUGAAAUCCAAACAGGCUGACUAACACUCAGCAAGGCAAGGGCUUGGAGACUCAAAGCUACCAGCUCCUCUAUCAAUAGGGACUGAUACAAGGAUUCACUGCUACACUGAAGGUUACAGAACCAGGUGUCAUUUUUUGGUGGGUUUCCCUGGGCUGAGCUGGUGUUAUUUUCACGUCUGACCAUUUCUUCCAAAUGGGACAGUGCUGAAGGAACAGCAGCCAUGUGCACCACACCAGUACAUCCCUCAACAGCCUCUGCAACUCACUCCACCCUGUGCAGGCAGCUCUGCCUGCCCACUGCCUUGCCCCUCUACAUGCUGGAGUGCAGUGCAAUCCCACCUCUCUGCUUCUGUUUGCUUAAACCAGACCCUUGUUAUUUUAAACAGGAGUUUAUUGUAUUUAAUACAUUAUAAAAUUUGAAAAAAUUGUAGGAAAGCAGCAGAUUCAAACCAGAGCAUCUCUACCAAAUAUUAAUUAUUCUGGCCCCCGUUGAAAAACACAAAACAAAACAACAAAAAAUCUCAUUCAAAAGAAAAGUUAACCUUUCACAUCUGUGAGGGCUGACGAAAAGUGUGCGACUUCUGUACAAACUACAUUUAAAAUUUCAGCUUUCCAAUGCAAUGGAUGGUCGUCUCCUGAACACCUGCCCAUCCACCUCUAAAAAAGACAGACAUAAACCUCCAUAUGCAAAUAAAGUUGAGUCAAGGUGUGUACACAUUAAAAAGUGGAUGGCUGUUUGGCAAUGAAAAUGGGUGAAGAACAGUCCAUGAAUCCCCCCCUGGCAAUGGCUUGUACACCGUUAAGUGGGCCCGGGAAGGGCCUGGGACACUUAAUGGCCAUCACAGCACCAACCUCAUCUACCACAUUUUGUCAUUGCAUUUCCUACCCUUUGACAUAUACAUACAUAUAUAUAUGUACAGACAUACAUAUACAUACAUAUCUUUGUGUGUGUGUGUGUGUUUUCUUUUAUACCUUGAGGUUAUUAUUAUUAUCACUACUAUUCCAAGUGUUCCCAUAUGAAUUCAGGUGUGGUCUCUAUAUUUUAUAUAAAUGUGUCUUUUAUUCAAUUUUAGUUCCAGGACUUGUUUGGAGUCCAAACUGCACAUGAAAUGUCCCCCUUUUUGUUUUUCCUCUUUGUUUUCCUUUUUUUUUUUUUUU